AACACGUGGGCAACCUGCCCUGAAGCGGGGGAUAACAUCUGGAAACAGGUGCUAAUACCGCAUAACAACGAAAACCACAUGGUUUCGUUUCAAAGAUGGUUUCGGCUAUCACUUCAGGAUGGGCCCGCGGUGCAUUAGCUAGUUGGUAAGGUAACGGCUUACCAAGGCGAUGAUGCAUAGCCGAGUUGAGAGACUGAUCGGCCACAAUGGAACUGAGACACGGUCCAUACUCCUACGGGAGGCAGCAGA
rnacentral:rRNA from 1 species